UGGAGAAGAGUUGGUUCUUGUUAUAUUUUUUAAGUGAAUUUUACCAUAUCAAAUGCUAGUUAGAGUUUUGAAAAUUUGGAUAUUUUCACAUGCUAGUUUACAAGAAAGUAUCAAGUUAAUGUAAUGUUAAUGGCCAGUUUUCACCCGAAAUAAUUGUGAUCCGAAAGUGUGUAGGUUUCAUCGGGUUCAGGGUCGGGUUCGGGUCUAACAAAUAGGCUCGAUAUAUAUUUCGGGUCGAGUCUGGAUCACAUAAAACCUGGUUUCAGUCGCCCCAUAAACACUCCUAGUUGACAAGUUAAAAUUAAUCAAAUUGCAAAAGCAAUAGUCAAAAUUUAUAGUUAGAAUCGAUCACAAUUAGGGGUGUUCAAAACCGAUCCAAACCAAACAAAAUCGAUCAACUGAGCCAAAAAAAUCGAAAAUCGAAUAAACCAAAAAUCGAAAAAACCGAAAAAAUAAUUUUUUGCUGUUUUUUUGCGGUUCGGUUCGGUUUUUGAUUUUGUUAGUGAAAACCCUAACCAAACCGAAUCAAACCGGUUUAUUUAAAAACCCUAAUAUAAAUAAGCAAAACCCCCUUCCCCUUAGAUGACCUAGCCGCCAUUCACCGUAAAGCCCCUAUUCCCUAACUCUCUCCACUCCCCAUUCUCACACACUCUCUUCCCACCGUUCACAAAGUCGCCGUCCUCUCAGCCCCUGGAAUCGCGGACAGCACCUUCGCGGCGGCCCUUCCUCGUCGCGGUUCCAUCUUCUCGGCGUGGUCCUCCUUCAAUCCCUCCCUUCCUCGGCGCGGCUCUUUUUCUCCCUCCGUUCGUCGUCCUCAAUGCACUGUAGCCGCCGUCUCCUCUACGCGGUGUCUCUCUAGCCUCCUCGCACCAGGAGCUUUUGUCUUCCUCCACGCACUGGAGCCACCGUCUCCUCCACGCACAAGCAGGCGCCGUCGUCGUCCAUGACAUUGCCUCCAAGUUAGUUUGUUGCUUACUGCGUCCUGCUCAGUGCUCAGCACUCAGCUUCACCACCACCUCUGCCUCUGUUCUGCCGUUGUCAAUGAUUUUAAUACAUGUUUUGAUUUUUGAUUGGUGAAAUUGCUAUGGUUGAAUUCUAUUAAUGUAAAAUUAGGAUUAGGUUUAGGGUUUGAAUUCUGUAAUUGAUAAAUUUGGAUCGAGUUAGAUUCUAGGGUUUGUGAAAUUGAGGCUAGGGUUUGUGAAAUUGGGACAUUUGUAUCAUAAUAAUGAAUUUAGGGUUUGGUCUCUGUUAAA